rnacentral:rRNA from 1 species
GACGAACGCUGGCGGCGUGCCUAAUACAUGCAAGUCGAGCGAAGUUUUUCUGGUGCUUGCACCGGAAAAACUUAGCGGCGAACGGGUGAGUAACACGUAAAGAACCUGCCUCAUAGACUGGGACAACUAUUGGAAACGAUAGCCAAUACCGGAUAACAGCAUUAACUGCAUGGCUGAUGUUUAAAAGUUGGUUUUGCUAACACUAUGAGAUGGCUUUGCGGUGCAUUAGCUAGUUGGUGGGGUAAAGGCCUACCAAGGCGACGAUGCAUAGCCGACCUGAGAGGGUGAUCGGCCACACUGGGACUGAGACACGGCCCAGACUCCUACGGGAGGCAGCAGUAGGGAAUCUUCCGCAAUGGGCGAAAGCCUGACGGAGCAACGCCGCGUGAGUGAAGAAGGAUUUCGGUUCGUAAAGCUCUGUUGUUAGGGAAGAAUGAUUGUGUAGUAACUAUACACAGUAGAGACGGUACCUAACCAGAAAGCCACGGCUAACUACGUG